rnacentral:lncRNA from 1 species
CAAUGAGAUUGGCCUGCCAAGAAUUGUUAGAGUGAAGGUAGAGUCUACUAACAUUUAAAAGCACUGUACUUUUGAUCAUACCUCCUCAAAACACUCACAAAAGAGGAUUUCUAGAUCUACCUCAGAAAGUGGCAAGAACAUGGAAUAAAGUGUGUAUGAGGUGAAGCGAGGUGUUUUGAGGGGGG